rnacentral:rRNA from 1 species
ACUCUGGUAUUGAUUGGUGCUUGCAUCAUGAUUUACAUCCGAUUGAGUGGCGAACUGGUGAGUAACACGUGGGAAACCUGCCCAUAAGCGGGGGAUAACACCUGGAAACAGAUGCUAAUACCGCAUAAUAACUUGGACCGCAUGGUCCGAGCUUGAAAGAUGGCUUCGGCUAUCACUUUUGGAUGGUCCCGCGGCGUAUUAGCUAGAUGGUGGGGUAACGGCUCACCAUGGCAAUGAUACGUAGCCGACCUGAGAGGGUAAUCGGCCACAUUGGGACUGAGACACGGCCCAAACUCCUACGGGAGGCAGCAGUAGGGAAUCUUCCACAAUGGACGAAAGUCUGAUGGAGCAACGCCGCGUGAGUGAAGAAGGGUUUCGGCUCGUAAAACUCUGUUGUUAAAGAAGAACAUAUCUGAGAGUAACUGUUCAGGUAUUGACGGUAUUUAACCAGAAAGCCACGGCUAACUACGUGCCAGCAGCCGCGGUAAUACGUAGGUGGCAAGCGUUGUCCGGAUUUAUUGGGCGUAAAGCGAGCGCAGGCGGUUUUUUAAGUCUGAUGUGAAAGCCUUCGGCUCAACCGAAGAAGUGCAUCGGAAACUGGGAAACUUGAGUGCAGAAGAGGACAGUGGAACUCCAUGUGUAGCGGUGAAAUGCGUAGAUAUAUGGAAGAACACCAGUGGCGAAGGCGGCUGUCUGGUCUGUAACUGACGCUGAGGCUCGAAAGUAUGGGUAGCAAACAGGAUUAGAUACCCUGGUAGUCCA